GGGGUUAUAGUUAAUAAAAAUAACAUUUAAUUUGCAAUUAAAAAUUACCCUAAUAGGUUUACCUCA
rnacentral:tRNA from 1 species